GUGCUUGCUUCAGCAGCACAUAUACUAAAAAUUGGAAUGAUACAGAGAACAUUAGCAUGGCCCCUGUGCAAGGAUGACACGCAAAUUCGUGAAGUGUUCCAUGUUUUA
rnacentral:snRNA from 1 species